CAUGCCCAGCUUAUUUUUGUAUUUUUAGUAGAGACAGGGUUUCACCAUGUUAGCCGGGCUAGUCUCGAACUCCUGAUCUUGUGGUCCACCCGCCUUGGCCUCCCAAAGUGCUGGGAUUACAGGCAUGAGCCACCAGGCCCAGCCUAUCUUGUGCCUUCUCUAGCCAGUGCUCCUACUAAAAAGGCAAGCUAAAAAAGCCUGUUUUUAUAAAUAGGAGGAAGUCUACAUGCUGAUUCAGAUGUGCCUAUUUGCUGUAAGCCUUCCAAAGUCAAUGUCUUAAUAUUUUUUAAUCUUAAUAACUAGAAUGUGAGAAUCAUAGGCCAUUUUGGAAGAGAGAGGUCAUAUUGUAAGAGUAAACAAUGACAACAAACAAUGGAAUAACCAUGUAGGAACAGAUAGACCUCUCCUUUGCCUCUUACACUAUCUGUCAUCAGUACUUCCCAUUACACCUCAAAAACAUCUUUUUGGCACAGCUUCUGUCCCCAUUUUUUUCCAGAGCUCUGGUUCUGUUUCAUGUUAUCUAUUGCUGGAAUGCUGGCAAUGGCCCCACUGGGGCUACCAUCCUCCAAUCCAAUAUGCAUAUUGUCAUCAGUCUGAUUAUCGCAUUCCUACGGCUACCUAGGUGCCUAAGACUAAGUCUUCAGCUAGGUGUUAAAAACCUGUCACUUUUAAGGAACCACACAACUCUCCAACAUCAAACGAGUCCCUAAAUCCUGUCCUGUAGCCAUAAAGCAAAUGUAAUUAUCACUUUCAAUAAAACACUUUACUUAUUCAUGCUGUUUCUUCUGACUGGUGAAUUUCUACUCACUCUUCUAGCCCAAUUCUAAUACUACCAUGUAAGGAUACCCUGAUUCUCUCCUGAUGGGAUUGACUAUUAUUUAGGAUGCUUUCAUCCUUUUUGUAAGUCUCUGUUAGUAACACUUGUCAGAUUGUUUCGUGUUAAUUUUUCACAUAGCUUCCUGAAUCAGUCUAUUGGAUACUUGAAAACAAACACUAAUUUUUUUUUUUUUUUUUUUGACACGGAGUCUCUCUUGCUGGGGCUGGAGUGCAGUGGCACAAUCUCGGCUCAGUGCAGCCUCUGCCUCUUGGGUUUCAGCAAUUCUCCUGCCUCAGCCCCCCAAGUAGCUAGGAUUACAGGUGCCAACCACCAUGCCCAGCUAAUCUUUGUAUUUUUAUUAUAGAUACGGUUUCACCAUGUUGGCCAGACUGGUCUCGAACUCCUCACCUCAGUAGAUCCACGACCUCGGCCUCCCAAACUGCUGGGAUUACAGGCAUGAGCCACUCCCAGCCACAGACACUAACCUUACUCGAUUUUAUGCCAUCAGUGCCAAACACAGGACAGUGAUCCAUAGUAAAUAUUGAAUAAUUUUUUAAUAAGCAAGUGAAUGUAUAAACACACCAUAUAGGGAGCUAAUGUUCUGUCUUUUUAUAGGGCAAGCUUUUUUACAAUUAUGUGUAUUUUGUACUAGAGCAGUUUGCCUGCUUGCCUGACUGUCUCUGUCCUUUCCUUUCCUCCUACCUUCCUUUCUCUCUCCCCAAAACAUUAAGUGAGCAUUCUGCGUUUUGGGUUCUAUGUGAGGUGUCAGAUGCAUUGAGAAUACUAAAACAUUGCCUCCCUCCUAGAAGUGUUCUCAAUUUUAAUGUGAAGGAAAGCAGUAAAAUAAUAAUGUAAUCUGGGUGCCAGUAGUUUAACAGGAACCUUCUCCAUGGUUGUAAUUGAACUGUUGAGUUGUCCUCUGCUCUCUAAAGGCCAACUUUUGAGAUGAGCUUUGAGAGCAAAUGGAGACCUCCUUGAUACAUUAGCAUGUGCAGAAGCCAUUGGUAGAACCAGUGUCUCUGUCGUUUUGGAGAUUUGUAUCUGAUGUGGAGAAUAAAAAAGUGCAUUGACCUGAGGGUUCAGAUGCCUGAGUUCCAGUUCUAGCUCUGCUACUAAUUAGCUAUGUCCUUGAUUCAGUAAUUCAGUCUAUCUUAUCUAUAGAUUGAGGGUGUUAGUCUAGACUCUAGAUCAGUGGUUCUCAACGAACAGUUAAAUAUUAGGAUUCAGAAAUAUGUGUACAUUAAAUUUAUAUUUAACAGAAAUACACAUUUAUAUUUAUGGCUAAUAAGCAUAACUGUCACAAAACAUAAUUUUGUGUGUGUGUGUGUAUACAUAUAUACAUGUAUAUAUAUAAAAUUAUGUUUCCUGGUCAUCCAAUAUAUGAAGUAUACACACACAUACACACACACACAGACACAUAUAUAUGUAUACAUAUACAAUUUCUACCAAAGAGUCACUGAAUUAGAAUCACCCAGGGGAGGCCAGGCCAUGCGUUUUUAGGAAAAAUCUUGCCAGCGAUUCUGAGAGACACUGGCCUGAGCUGUCUAUUCUCCAUGAUAUCAUGAUAUGUGAGGUCUCUGGGCCUCUAAUUCUAUGACUGAUGGGCAGGCCCCCACUGUCAUUGAGCUGUGGAGACGCUCAGCCCACUCCAGUCUUUCUCCUUUAAUAGUCUGUGAGAACCAGGGACAUUGUUUCAAAAAACAAUCAGAUCCGUAGCUGACAUCAUAGGUCUUCCUGAAAGAGAGGAAAGAGAUGCAGAGCAGAGAUAAGACCAAAAAUUCCCCAAAUGCACAUGGCUGCUGGUAAUCACAGCUAGCCUGGGGCUAUCUCCGGCUUCUUGAACUUAAGAGGGACCCAGUCAUUCUGGUGUCCUGACUCCCAUAUAUUUGUUCUCUGACUGAGGCAUAAAGAUCCGGGUGAGCUAAUGCAUCAACUGAUGAAAAAUGAACAAUUAAAACAAUGAAGUUGUCAGUUCUUUUACCAGAUUGCAAAUAAAUAACCUGCCUGUCAGACUGGCUGCUCUGCUGGACCAUUAGUUUAAUACAAAGACAUUCUGAGGAACGGGUGGAUGACAGCUGAUCUAUCACCCCCGUGGUUCCAGGCCUUUGAUAAAGACCUGAGCAACAAAUGCUGUCAUAAACCACAAAAGGUCAGUCCCAAUUUGUGAAAAGUGAAGUAUUAAAUGAAACUUGAAUACACCCCUCUGCCCAUCAUGAAAGCCAUAGGCUUUAAAAAAAAAAUUGGCAGAGUGUUGGAUAGUUCUUUUAACAAACCAAAACACUUCUCUUUCUGUGUAGGCUUAUUUAGCAUGUUAGGGACACUGUGCUGGUAUAUAUGGUGAUAGAGUUUGUAAUUGCCACAAUGGAAGGACUGUGAUCUUGGGCUGCACAAUGUAUCUUCUUGCCAGGCCAAACAGGGUCUGACUACAGGGUGGUAUUCCAUGCCGUGUCAAAUGCUAAAACAGUCCUAAUUUAACAAAAAGUCAAUCCAUUGUAUUCUCUUAUAUAUACCUUUUCUAUAUGACAUCUCAUAAAGUAUUUGCCAACUAGAAAUACUGUUCAUGGGCAAUAAUUAGAUAAAGUCAUAGAUAAUUCAAUAAGGAUGUAUUAUUUAAGUCUCUAGCUAAUAUCUCAUUUGUUUUUAAAUUUGAUAGAAAAAUAAUUACCUUUCAGAAGUUACCUUGAAGAAAAUAAUUAUUUCUCAGAAGCACAAAGUUCAAUUAUAAACUUUACCCUGCAGUUUGUAACUAGGUGAGGUUCAGUAUUUAUGAGAUAAACCUACUUCUUUUACUAGUUGCCUUUGUCUCAACUUGAAUCUUAGCAAAGCUGAUCCUCAAUUUUUUUAAUGAAAAUUAGUGAAAUGACUGAGAAGUUAACAAAUCAAAACAAUAAAUUUUCCCCUUCCAAAUUUUGGGGGGUAUUUACCUAUAUUUAGGUUAUAUCUUCAUAGUCAAAAUGAUUUAUGUUCUACCUAAGUGAAAAUAGUCACUAUCUAUUCUUUUUUUAGUAUAUUAACAAAUUAAUUCACAAUAAAAUGUAGCGUUAUAUGGAGAAAUACCUUAAAUCUAUACAGACGCUAUAAGUAGGGGUUUUGUGGUCAUUUAGUUUCCCAGAAUGAUUUUAGCUAGGAAGAAGUAUCAGCUACAUUACUUCAAACUGGUUUGAGCAGUUCUUCUGGGUGGCUAAUUAAUAAUCAAGAUGAACACGAAAUUAAUGUAAAGCUUUUCAGACUGAUUUUCCUACCCAUUAACUUAAACCACAACUUUGCCUGUGCUCUGCCUUUGUGAUCUCUUCAAGAUUAUAUAAUAUUGUAUCUCUCACUUCCUAAGAAGAAGCCCUGAGAGCGUGGGGGAAAGCUUGGAGCUCAUUCCUGAAAAUAACCUGGUUCUGCUCCUGGUUUUGUCACUUCUUGGCCAGGUCAUUUGUGCAAGUGAUUUGGUGUUUGCUUAUCAUAUCAUAUGCCCAAUAGCCACUGCUUAAAGAAGACUUCAUGCAAAAGGCACCUGCUGUUAUCUUGAUGGUGGGGUUGCCUUAAAGUCUUAAAAAAAAAAACAACAGGGCAGUAAUGUUAUAUACACCACUAAAGGAGGCAAGCAGUUUCUGCUCCAGAGACUUUUGCUGUGAUCUAAAGUUAGUCCUUCAUUUCUCCAAGUUUUACUUUGGGAAGUCUUUCUUUUUUGUUCACAAAUCUUUCUCUGAAAGUCUCAAGCUGCUUUCAAAAUGUUUAUUGGCUCCUGACCUUAUCCCAAGAAUCUUAAGCCUUUCUCAAUGUAACAUUGUAUUAAAACUUCUCUUUUGGAUCCAUUAACUAAAUAAAACUUUUAAAAUAAUUGGUCAUAAUUUGUCCAUGUAUUUUUAUGUCACAUAGUUUUAAGAAAUAUGAUAUUUGGAUUCAUUUCUAUAAAGAGUUGUACUACAGUAGAGUUCUUUACAUGAUAACAUGGUCUCUAACAGAUGAAUCAGAAGCUACUUAAAACAGUUGGGAACACAGAGAUCAUGGCGCCCCUCGAGAUGCCCAUGUCCUAAUUCCUGGAAUAUGAAUAUUUGACCUUACAUUUUAUCAAAAGGGACUUUGCAGAUGCCAUCAAGUCAAGCUUCAGAAACUGGGGAGAUUUUCCUAGAUUGUUGAGUAGGUCCAGUGUAAUCAUGAAAGUUUAUAAGGAGAUCAGAGAAGAGAGAAUCUAAGCUGCUGGCUUCAAAGAUGGAGGGAGAUGUCACAAGCUGAGGAGGGAGAUGUCACAACAGUGUAGGCGGCUUCCAGACACUGGAAAAGAGCGAGAAAAUCGAUUCUCCCCUCAAGCCUCCAGAAGGAACAGUUUUCUGCAAUACCUUGAUUUCUACUUCUGAUCUUCAGUAUUGUGAGAUAAUGCAUUUAUAUUGUUUAAAGCCACUGAAUUAUAAAUGCGUAUUAGUGGUAAUCGUUAUAGCAGCCAUAGGACACUGAUACAGAAACGUUUAUAAGAAAUCACCACUGAAGAACUUAUUCAUGUGACCAAACACCACCUGUUCCCCAAAAACCUAUUGAAAUAAAAAACAAAAUACAAGAAACAGUAUUGCCACUGCACACAGGAAUUCUUGCAGGUGGAUAUCUGAUAAUGUGCUAAAAUAUUAUUAUAAUUAUAAUUCAUUCUGCUUUUUGAUAACUAUCACUAUAAUUGGUGUGUAUUCUAUAGAGUUUUGCUUAAUUUGAGCCUGCUGAAACAAUUAUGUCAUUUGAUUAACAAAGUCUUUUCUCUAACGUUGAAAAACUUAAAAUAAUUUAAGAAGACCAAAAAGAAGUUUAUAACAAUGUAAGUUGAUCAUUGUCUAACAUGCAUAUACCUUUGCCAAUAUAUCCUUAAGAAUUAUAUCAGUAACUCAUAUAUACCCAGUAUUUUCUCUCUAGAACUGUUUUCUAUCUCUACUCUUUCUUUCUCCUCUUCCCCUUAUCUCUGUGUAUACUUUUAUACUACCUAGUGUUUUAGAUGUCAGUGAAAUAGUGAUCUCCUCAGAGACAAUAUCUGGAACUGAACACCUCCACCCAUGCCAGUCUAAACUGGGGUCCCUGCUACGAUUCUCCUCACAGCACCCCUUACCCUGUCACUUGUUUAAAUUUGGUAUUUAUUUGAAUAAUUAUUUAAUCAUGUUUCUUUCUCUUCACUAUUACAAGCUUAAAAGUACCAGAAUCAUGCCUGGUUUUGCUCACUGUUGUGAACCUGGCACAUAGUAGGUAUUCAGGGAAUAUUUCUUGGCUGAAUGAAAAGAUUCAGAAUUCUGCAUGGCUUGUAAGACAGACCAAAACUGUGCACUACAAUGCAGUCCAUCCAGAAGCAUAAGACAAUAAACUAACAAGAGUGAUUGUUUGUGUUACUUACCAUCUCUUGCAGAAAACAUGAAGCUAUCAGGCUUUGAUACCCUCUGAAGUCUCAAAGUCAUUAUUAUUUAGUUGGAUAAUAAUUGAUGGACAAUUUUCAUGAGGACUAUGUAAUAUGAGAAACACUAUAUUAUCAAAAAUUAUUUUGAGGCAACACGUGGUUGGAUGUGGCUGCAAGGAUUCCUUGGCAACAUCAACUAUAAUUACAGGACUAUGAAAGAAGAUUCAAGAAAAUAUCCAUAAAAGGUGUAGCUGGCUUAAAAGCAAAACAUUCAGCAGCCAAGAGCAACUGGGCUUUCAUGUUCUCGAGUUCAGAAUGGAGUAUCAAAAUUUUCUCUCAGCAGAGGUCAGAGGAAGCAGACAAAUUUACAGUAGAAUCUCAUCACUUGUGCAUAUUUCAGAGGACAGAUAACUCCAUGCCUUGAAUCAACAGCUUGAAGGUGACUGAAAAUAUAAAUAGUAAUUGGAAUGUUGAGUUAACCACAUUAAUUCUUUGGGUAUACACCCAGGAACGGGAUUGCUGGCUCAGACGGCUUGUCUACUGGACUGAAUUUAAACACUGUUUGCUAUGGCCAUGGGCAGGACUGUGUUCGACAGUGCUCCUGUGACUCAGGACAGUGUGACCCAGUGACGGGAGUGUGUCACUGUCCACCUGGCCAAACGGGAACCAGGUGUCAGGAAGUGCAAAUUCUGUAAGAAGAAAAAAUGAGAAAAGGAAUAUGGAAAAGAAAGGGCAGAUGAACCAAGAGCAGAAAAGUUUUGCUAUGGAGCACAUGAAGAUAUUAACUAGAAUCUCUUCCAAGAAUUCAAAGGAUGUAAUGAAAAAGUGCGCUAUAUUUCUCUAUAAAAUGUAUGGUUACUGCAUCUGAAGUAGAGAAAAAUGUUUUUCCUACCAGGUAUGAUGGCUCAUGCCUGUAAUCUCAGAACUUUGGGAGCCAAGGUAGUUGGAUCACCUGAAGUCAGGAGUUCAAGACCAGCCUGGCCAACAUGUGUUUGCCUGACGUGUUUGGAGAUGGUUGACAUCAACUUUGUGACUGAAGAAGAACACUUCUGCCACUUAAUGACUGGAAAAUGCCUCUGCCCCUGUAGGAGAACUGGAGCCAGAUGUGAUGCUGAAUGCAGGCCGGGCCUGUAUGGACCUAACUGCGCUCUCAACCGUCAAUGUGGUCACAAAGCUCACUACAGCCCUCUCAAUGGGAGCUGCUCUUGCCUUUUUAAGACAAUGGGCCCAACCUGUGAGGAAAGUAGUUCAGAUGAUCCUCAAUAACCAAACACUAACAACUUUUCAGUUGGUGAGUAGAAUUUUUCAGGAUUUCAUCCACAGUUUAUCAUCUUAACUUUGACGUAGAAAUGUACUUACUCAACCAUCUUCAGUUCCUCCUGACCUGGUGUGGGGUAAAUAACAGGAUGUGUCCACUUUGUCAUCUCCAAGCACAAGUCCCAUUCUCUAGCCUAGCCUUCCCAACAUCUUUUUGCUGGAGAAUAUUCCCAAUAAUAAGAGAAUGUUUUUUCAGGAUCCCAAUCAUAGUGAUGUUUGGACUAAUAAGUGAACCUUUUUUAUAUGCACAGGAGGUAUUUAAAUUUGGACGUAAGAACUGCUUUUCAGUUCAGGUUGGACUACACUGAAAUAUUCACACCUAUUCACUGAAGACUUCAGUGGCCAUUAAAUAGCUGGAUCCUCUUUGGAAAUGUCUAGAAUUUCAUCUAUUUAUUCUCAGUAUCCUUCCUCAUAACAAACUCUGCUCCGGAUUGCUAAUGUAUUGUGUUUCAAACAUGACUUUGGUGUGGGAGACUAUAAAGACUUUAGCAACAUAAUGACGUGCACUUUUAUAGUGAAACAUCAAAAUGUUUAGUGUGUUUUCUCCGUCACUGGCCAGCAGACAGGAAAAAGGUGGGUAGCAGUGACCGAGGCCAGGACUUAGCCUACUCUGGGGGACACAAAUUUCCUUUAAAUCAGGACCUACUAGCAAUCAGGCUUUUAAUUCACAUUGGUAAUCCUGAUUCACAUUGUUCAUCAUUUAGGACAACUAUCUUAGGCCAUUUAUGAGCCUAAGAUGAUCACUGUGAUAAGCCCAAGAAAGAUACAGCAAUAAAUACUACUUGAUGUUUGCUCUCAAGGAGUUUAUAAGCACUUAAAUUUUCAGACCACUGGUUACUUCACAUCAGCAAACAAAACUUUCUUGAUUGGAAAUGUUGUUUUUCCAUGUUACCCAUGCUUUAUUGGGAUAAAAAUAGAGAAUAUUAUAAUUAUAUGACUGACUACUUGAUUUAUGCAAGAUGUAUGAGUGGCUUUUACACUCAUACAUCUUGGAAAGUACAGUCUCUCAUCUUUACUUGAUGAUUAUCUUUCUAAAUCUCAGCACUUUUAACAGAGCAGAGAUAUAGCUACCUAUAAUGAGCAGCCAUGACAAAUUUAAUGUUAUUAAAUGAUACAAGGGACUUAAUGAGAUCACCUUACAAAAUAAUUUUGUGCUUUUUAUUGUUUUAGAGAUAGUCUCUCUCUGUUGCCCAGAUUUGGGUGCAGUGGCAUGAUCGUAACUCACUACAACCCCAGACUCUUGGGUGCAAGAAAUCCUCCCACCUCACCCUCCUCCCCUCCAUCCCACCCCCGAGUAGCUGGAACUACAGACAUCCAUACCAUGCCCAUCUCAUUUUAAAACAUUUGUAGAAAUGAAAGUCUCACUAUGUCACCUAGGCUGGCCUUGAAUUCCAGGCCUCAGCUGCUCCUUCUGCCUCAAGCUUCCAGGGAACUGAGAUUAGACACAUGAGCCACCAUGCCUGGCUUCUCCAAGAGAUUGAAUUUAGUUUAGUCUUUAAAGAGAUUAAAUAAAUUACCUUCUUUUCCCCAGUAUUUGGAAAUAAAUAUUUACAUUUCAGUGCAUUUUUACCAUUUUAAAUCAGUCAUUAAUAAUCUGUUAUUUCAAACCAGCUGAAAUAAACUAUGCUUUAUUCUGGGCAUUUGCCCAUUUUCUUUACCUGCUAUUUUUCAAGCUUCUCUCAACUAUCACCAUCUAACCCUCAGAGAGAAUAAGGUAAAUAAAAGCAACAUUCUCUACUGGGCUGCCAGUCCCCUCUGGAUUUUCUUUAUUUCAUGACUAAAUAAUUGUGACUGCAAACAGGGAAAAGAUAAAGAAAUUAGGCUUUUCUUGCUCACUAGAGAACGCAUUUCUAUUAAGGCAGAUAAGAAAAACCUAGAUUUGUUAGGAAGAAAAAUAAGGGAUUUAUUUUGGCUAUUCUUUUUUAUUUUAUAUUACCUAACUUUUUAUAAGUGAGAAACCAUAUGUAAAAAGUGAAACAAGGUUCUUGGCAAAUGGCAGAUGUUUAUACACUGUCUCCUUUCAUCCCCUUUCCACCCAACUCUGAAACAAAUUGUGGGCACAGGAAAGCGAAGUCAGAGCAUGAACCUGUAUUUGUGCCAUCUCAGGAUCCUUUAGACAAACCGCAUCUUCAUUCUUAUACCAGUCAGCAUGAACAAGUGCAAAUUACUGUAGCACCUUUUCUUUAUUGAUCUUUUUUUUUUUUUUUUUCGAGAAAAAUGCAGUGGCGUGAUCUCGGCUCACCGCAACCUUUGCCUCCUGGGUUCAAGCAGUUCCCUGCCUCAGCCUUCCGAGUAGCUGGGAUUACAGGCGCCCACCACCACACCUAGCUAAUUUUUGCAUUUUUAGUGGAGACAGGGUUUCACCAUCUUGGUCAGGGUGGUCUUGAGCUCCUGACCUCAUGAUCCACCAACCUCAACCUCCCAAAGUGCUGGGAUUACAGGUGUGAGCCACCACAAUGGCCCUAAAAGUUUUUAUAAGUUGUCUUUCAUAUUAAAAAAUAAAAAUAGGAAAAUGUUUACAAUCUAGAAGGUUUCCAUUGUACUUUUGGUUGUCUUGAAAAAUCUUGAUAAGCAGUGUAGAGUGAUCUCUCCCAAAAAUACAUCAGUUCUCCUGCUUCAGGAUGCUAGCAGUUGGCCUGAAAAUUAUUAUAUGCAGUAUUUCAUGCAUGAACCAACAUAUAAUAAAUGUUAAUCUUAAAUAAUUAUACAGAUGGAAAAUUAUAAAAUACAAAUUCCUUGAAAAUCAUAUAAUAGAAUUUAAAAUUUUAUGUUUUUAUAACUGCCACAUUAAAAAUGCUUCAAAUUAAGAAAACAGUGUACAAAGACCUCACAUUUUUUUAACAAAUAAAUAAAGGCACUACAUAAGCAUUUUUUACCUGAGGUUUUUACAUGUAAACCACUAUUCAGGUACAGUGAAGUAUGAUUUAGCUACCAAGAAAUAAUUUACACAAAGUUAAAGAAUCCAAUCAUCACAUAAAGUGAGGUAUGAUCUAAUAUGCGUGUCCUCUUUAAGCUAAAGUUUAAUGUAAAAUUGGGAUCCUUGUCGUUGGAUACUAAUAUUUUAUAUUACUCCUCUACUUUUUCCUCCCUGUUUAAUCUGUCCUUUAAAUGUAAAAAUGCUGAUCCCCAAAGGAAAUGUGUCCACUCAUAAUAUUUAACCAACCUAGAAAGGUGCAUGUGCUAUGAUGUUUCAGCCUUUUUCAUUUGAAAUACAAGAUCAGAGUGGAGAUUAUUAUGCUUUUCUGCAAUAAUAUAGCUCAAGUUUAAAGAAAAAUGAGCAGAUGUAUGGAAGUGUGCUGGCUAAUUUGAAGUCUCAAUUCAACAUGCCUGGGAUAUACCAUUUCAGUGUAACACCUAACUUUCCCCUGCUCUUUCUAACUUCUGCAUUCGUUUAUUGAGUUUUCCAGAUGAGACAGCUACUUGACACAGGUUAAAUUAUUUUUAGAGAACUUGGAAAUCAUUCCAAGAGUUAGUGGCAAGAAUGGCAUUUCCUUUGUUAGAAAUAGCGAAAAGGGUUUGGCCUCUCCCGGGCCUCUUUCACCUUGGUUUCUCCAGGACCUGGUAAUACAGAUGUAGCAAGAAUUUAAAAGCGCAUUUGAUGAAGUGAACAAAUAAUAGCAACUGUCUACACUCUAGGAGUCAUAUAUGCAAUUCAGGUGAAAUAACUUUUCUUGGGUCUGUAAUACAAAAAAAAGUCAAAGUAGCUGAGCUUUUAAAAUAGAUUUAAAAGUCAUUCCAAAGCUUUGUCUCAUUUAGCUAAUUAUGUGAAAACGAUGUUCUAUUUUUUUCUGCUUAUGUUUUACUUUUUAUAAAUUAAAAAACAAGUAAAAAUAAAGUGUAAACUAUGCAUUUAAAAGUCAUAGAUGCCUCCUUUAUGUUUUUCCAAAUAUUUACAGACUCUUUUAUCUCUAAAUUUUA